ACCACCCAAAUAAGCAUAAAUAGUAGUGGUUGAUUGUGUAAUUCCAGAGAUAUAAACGAAUAUCUCUAGAGAUCUGCCUCAUCAACAGCUGCAGUAUUUGCUAGCCACAUAUAUAUACACAGUUCGACACGUAGUUAUAACGGAAGAGAGAAGCAAAGAGAGAGGCAGAGUGACUGCAACCAUCAGUAGUUCUAUGAUUUUAUUUUUUACCGUUUUGUUGCUGUUUCAUGGUGUUUAUUUGAUUGUAGGGUGGAGGAGAGGUGAAAGCUGACAGAAGAGAGUGAGCACACAUGGUGCCUUUCUUGCAUGAUGUAUGAUCGAGAGAGUUCAUGCUCGAAGCUAUGCGUGCUCACUUCUCUCUCUGUCAGCCAUUAGAACUCCUCUAUCUCUCAAUCUCGAUCUCCCUCUUUCUUUGUUGAUCUCUCCCAUGGUGAUAUUUAUUUGCUUCCUACGUGUUGUGUUCUCUUUCUUCAGCACACACACAACCUGUUCAUGUUACCUUAGGGUUAAAGUUUUUGCACUUUGCGUGAAGAUGGAAAGACAAACAGUAGAUGAGUUUUUUGAAGGUUUGACAGAAGAGAGUGAGCACACACGGUGGUUUCUUACCAUGAGUGUCAUGCUAGGAGCUGUGCGUGCUCACCCUCUAUCUGUCAGUCACUCAUCAAGCCCAUCUGUCUUAUUAGCUUGUUUCCGCUGCUAAUAAAUAUUCUAGACUCAAGUUUAUUUGACACAGAGAUCGAUCGCUAUCUUGUUCGAUGCAUAUAUAUAUAUAUAUAUAGAAGUAUUAUUUACAUGUGCGGAUCUCGUGUAUAUCUUCUUCCUGAUUAGCUGAUGAUCUUAUUCUCAUGUGUAGUUUAUUUGUCUUCGUAUCUAACUUUUUCGCAGGGGCCAAGCCAUGAUUGCGAAGAAAGGAAUGUAAAAGAUGGCUCAGAACUCCAUCACAAAGUCUACAUACGGUCGAAAUAAGAUCUCCAUCAGAUCGGAGAGCUUUAUUUAUUGAUUGUUUUUUUAGAGUUCUAGAGCAAAGCCCAUGUCUUAGCAUUACCAAGACAAAAGAAUAAUCCAUAUAUAUAUCCUUUGGAUGGUUCACAUCCUUCACUCCAGGUUUAAGUUUAACCAACACAAAUAAAAAUAUAUAAUUAAACGACCGGCACAUAGAGACAAAAACUCAAAUCUCCAAGAACAUCUCCACUGUCAGCAGCCUCCAAGGUAAACCAUAAAUUUUCAAUGGAACGAUCAUCAACCACCAGGGAGGAGGAUAUAUAGCCUCUGCUCUUCAAAUCUUCAGGUCUUGUGGCCAGAUUCUUGAGUUUCUCCAGCUUCACUUUGAAGUCCAGUUUCUAUGCCUGAAGGCAGAGCAGCCUCAGCCUUGCUUGUAGCAUGACUGCCAUGUUCAAGAGUAAAGACCUCGUGUCUCUAAGGAACACCAUGAAAACACAGUUGUUUCGUGUCAGUUUCGAAAGCCUCCACAGGGCUGCAAGAAUCAUUUGUGUAGUAGUGGUGGUUGACGUACUCUCUCUCAAAGAAAGAACAUCAUGUUUCUUAGGUUGUUUUUUAGUGCGCCUUCAUUUCAUUCUCUGAAUAUGCCCAUAAGCUUUAGUUGAACAUACUGAUAUGUAAAUUUGGCUCGGUGGCUCACCGUUAUUGCAUGUGCAGAAUUUAUGGCACUGGUCUGAUUUAUAUGAAAAUAUUUUAUAUUGUUGUGGCUUUA